UACCAGCACCCCGAGUGGUCGGGACGAUUAUUGGGCCUAAAGCAUCCGUAGCCGGCCUUACAAGUCCUCCGUUAAAUCCAGCUGCUUAACAGAUGGGCUGCGGAGGAUACUAUAAGACUAGGAGGCGGGAGAGGCAAGCGGUACUCAGUGGGUAGGGGUAAAAUCCUCUGAUCCAUUGAAGACCACCAGUGGCGAAGGCGGCUUGCCAGAACGCGCUCGACGGUGAGGGAUGAAAGCUGGGGGAGCAAACCGG
rnacentral:rRNA from 1 species